UCCGAGGGAAGAAAUUAAAACUUCAAAUCUCAUUUGCCAGCCUCUAUCUCCGGCCUAAGCGAUAAACCAGAGGAGUUGAGAGAGAGAGUUUUUUCUAGAGAGAGUGACGUGGAGACCAUUGGGAGGGAGACGGAGAAAGAGGAACGGGAGGCAUUUUCUACAGCCAAGCAAAAAUCUCUCUUUCUCUCUCUAAGUACUCUCUCUAUCAAUAUUGUCUCUUUCUCUCUCUAAGUACUCUCUCUAUCAAUAUUGUCUCUUUCUGUCUCUAGAUUGCGGCAUUUCUAUGCAUCUUCACAAGCCGGCACGCCAUUACCACACCACUCCAAGCUUUCUUCCAUUUAAAAAGAUAAAAAAAUCUUUGUUUCUAAGACCAGGUCUCUUUGAAAGCUUCUUUAUCUCAUACAUCGAUCGUCAACGUCGAUCUCAGCUUGAGACGGUUCAGAUCCUCCAGCUUCUGCUCUGUACACGUCAUUAAGAUCUGGUCUAGUGCUUUUUAAGAAGCCCAGUCUCCAUUUCCCAUAGGAUUCUUUAGUUGCAGAGAGAAGAAGCACUGUGAUGAUCAAAACAUGGCGUCGAAAAUGAAGUAUUUUUUAGUGUUGAAUACAGUGACUUCUACAAAACAUGUUUUGUAGAGCAUUAGGUGAAGGGACCAGGUCCUGUUCGAAGGCUUCACAUCUCCAUGGGCACCGUCCACCUCAUCUUCUGAGCGGUUCUAAUUUCUCUAGUCCUGCUCUAUAUGUGCUUUUAAGAUCCAUUUGAGCAUAUGAAUGAGCCCUAGGGGUUUGUAGUUGCAGAAGAAGAUAUGUUUUUUAUAUAAAAAGGGCUAGCAAAUGAAAGAUUUUGACAGUUUUGAAUCUCCGGAGCUUACCCCUUUAUUUCAGGGGUCAUGGAGCCAAUCUGUACAAAAAGGUAAUCGAUUCAGAAUCAUGCCACCCCCAAAUGGCUGGAGCCAAGGGCUCCUCAUGUGCCAUUGAAGGGUGUGAUUGCAAGGUCAUGAGCGAAAAGAGACGAGAAGACAUACUCCCUUGUGAGUGCAACAUCAAGAUAUGCAGAAAUUGCUAUCUAGACGCUGUAAAGACAGGCGGGGGUAUAUGCCCUGGUUGCAAAGAGCCUUAUAAGAAUGGAGGUGACUUAGAAAAAGUAGGCCUAGAUUCAGAGAGGCCUAUGCAUUUGGUUUAUGAAUUCGUAUAACGGUGCUAUUCCAUCUUGGUUUUCUGAUGUUGUUUAUGAGUUCAAGUUGCCAACUGAAAUUUCUGCAAUUUUUCUAAGAGAAGAAAAUAACUUAAAGCCAAAGAAGUUUUUGAGGAUGGAAGAGGAGCAAAGACACACUCACUCUCUCCGAUCAACUCUCAGUUCUGCAAUCGCUGCACCUUCGAGACCUCCUCAAAGCUGCUGCCCAAGAACCCAAUUGCACCAACCAUGAAAUCCAAAACACCUCUUCCAGCCUCUUCCAGAAGUGGAACCCGAAGAUGAAUGGAAGACAGGAUAAGAAAGGAAUUGAAUUUCAUUGAGUUAAUUCAAUAAAUAUUUUCCUUAGCCAUCAUCAAAAUCAGAUGGCAUCACCUAUACAUGUUUCUUUUUACUUCAGGUCUUUGCAACUUUGGUAGCAAUCAUUUGAUUCAUUUGAUCUUCUAAUUAAUACGAUCUAUGUAAUCCAUUGUUUCCAAAUCAAUUGUAUCGGCAAGGGUCAUAGUAAUUAUUUGGAAUAAUAUUCAGUCUACA